rnacentral:rRNA from 1 species
GGUUAAGCGACUAAGCGUACACGGUGGAUGCCCUGGCAGUCAGAGGCGAUGAAGGACGUGCUAAUCUGCGAAAAGCGUCGGUAAGGUGAUAUGAACCGUUAUAACCGGCGAUGUCCGAAUGGGGAAACCCAGUGCAAUUCGUUGCACUAUCGUUAACUGAAUACAUAGGUUAACGAGGCGAACCGGGGGAACUGAAACAUCUAAGUACCCCGAGGAAAAGAAAUCAACCGAGAUUCCCCCAGUAGCGGCGAGCGAACGGGGAGCAGCCCAGAGUCUGAAUCAGCUUGUGUGUUAGUGGAACGGUCUGGAAAGUCCGACGGUACAGGGUGAUAGUCCCGUACACCAAAAUGCACAGGUUGUGAACUCGAAGAGUAGGGCGGGACACGUGGUAUCCUGUCUGAAUAUGGGGGGACCAUCCUCCAAGGCUAAAUACUCCUGACUGACCGAUAGUGAACCAGUACCGUGAGGGAAAGGCGAAAAGAACCCCGGCGAGGGGAGUGAAAAAGAACCUGAAACCGUGUACGUACAAGCAGUGGGAGCACCUUCGGGUGUGACUGCGUACCUUUUGUAUAAUGGGUCAGCGACUUAUAUUCUGUAGC